ensembl:lncRNA
AGAAGUGAUGGGGACGAAAGAUGAGUUGGUCAAAUGCCAGCUCAGGAUCCCCUUCCAAUCCUUCUUCCUCCAGUAGCUUGGAAGACAUAGCCACAAGGUACACUGAUUUCAUAUACUUAUGACUGAGAUGCUGUAUGGGAACUGUUGAGUCAUGGCCUGAACCACUGAUUGAUCACCUGAGGCAAGGACUGGGUCAGCUGUGGGAGCACAGGUGAAGGCAAUUCACCUGUGUGACCUCCUAGACCCCAUUUAAGGGCUGACUAACACCAGGAAAGAAUUUCUUUCUGGGCAUCCCUUCUUUGUGGAGCUUUUCAUUGUGAGCCUAAAUCUUUGGACACAGGUGGUUGUGUGUGGAGCCAGAAGUUGGACUUGAUGAUCCCUGUGGGUCUCUUGUGGGAUAUUCCGUGAUUCUACAACUCUAAGAUGAGAGUUCUGUGUUUUACAAGCUGAGAGCUGAUGAUGUCUUUUGAAGUCAGUGGCUGUCUCCUGAUUGUAAACUGUCUAAAGCAGCAGUGGCUGGAACUGAGAUAGUUACUUUCAAAUGAGUUUUUAACUAAAUUAGGUUUUGAUAGCAGCUUAUCAAUAGCUGACAGCUGGGUAUUGAUAGAAAAGAGCAGAGUGAAGAUAGUUUCUUAUUUGCCAUCUGCUAGGUGACAGCACAGACAUCUAAUUCAUUUCUAUAUGAAGAACCAUUAGUGCCAUGCACAGAUUUCUGCAAGGACCCAGUGGCUGUUCCUAGCAUGUCACUUGCUCACAGCAUGUCCCUGCCAAAAGCAAAAAAAUCAGCCCGAUUAUUUGGUAUAUAUUUAGCUGAGUUUAGCAAAGAGAUAUAGAGCCAACACUUGUCACGAAAUACACUUCUGUCCAUGAUAGCUGCUGCAAGCAACUCUUGUGCUCCUGAGAGUGUGUUAACCAUCUCCAGGCAAUGAUCAGACAAAACAUUCAGCACAGAUCCCAUGAUCCAGUUAUACCACUUGUCCAGAAACAAUGACAUGAAAAAGUGAGUAAAAGUCAAACAACUGGAACUUCAGUUGUUUCUCUGAUGUUUAGUUCAAGGGAUUGAUUGAAGGACAAAUUAAUUUCUUACACCAAACAGCCACUGUUCAUAAAGCAGGCUCCAGCACCAAUUCCAAGCUCCCUCUUUGAAUCAGAGCCAGGAAGACAACUCAGGUAAGAUUUCUACCUUUGUGCACUGUCUACAGGUACCAGGCUACCUGUUUCCUGGUAGGUGCUUGAGUUUAGACCUAAAUCUAGAAGGAACUAAUCUGGGAUCUAGCUGUCACUUGAAGAUGCAAGAGCAGAUAACUUGCUGCUCUUUCUGCUGUAGCAGCAGAACAGAAUAAAUGUAUGGAUCUGUAAUAGAGAAUCAUAGAAUCAUCUAAGUAAGGAAAGACCUUCAAGACCAUGAAGUACAACCAUCCACCUGACCUACUACAUCUCAUCACUAAACUAUGUCCCUUAGUGCCAUAUCUACAUCUUUUAAAUAUCUCCAGGGGUAGGCAGUCCACCACUUCCUCGGGAAAUCUGUUUCAAUGCCUAACAUCCUUUUCCAUGAAUAGACUGUUCUUAAUAUCCUAUCUAUACCUUCUUCAAUGAAACUUGCAAUCCCUUUUUUGUGUUCUACCUCUUGUCACCUGAUGAAAGAGACUGGCCCAUUCUCACUGCAAGCUCCUUUCAGGAAGUUGUAGAAAGCAAUGGAGUGUCCCCUCAGCCUCCUCUUCUCCGGACUAAAUGAACCCAUUCCACUCCUCAUAUCUUGUUUUGUAGUCCUUUCACCAGCUUCAUUACUCUUCUCUGCACACGCUCAAGCAACUCAACGUCGUUCUUCUAGUGAGGGGCCCAAAACUGAACACAGUAUUUAAGGUAUGGUAUUACCAGUGCCAUGUACAAUGAGACACUUAGGAAGACCUGCUCCAUAACUUAACCUGGUACUGAGGUCGGACUGAUGGGCCUGUAAUUCCCUGGAUCCUCCUUCUUACCCUUUUUGUAGGCUGGGUUCCCAUUCACUAACCUCCAGGCAACUAGGACCUCCCCAGUUAGCCAGAAGUGGUGGUAAAUUAUUGCUAGUGGAUUAGCAUAACAAAUUUGAGAUCCCUUCUUCAGCUGUCAUUAUUCAACAGAUGUGAUCCAAAGUAGAUAUGCUGAAGAUACUGUUUAAGAAAAAGACUUGGGGAACUUCUAGCUCAGAAUUAGACUUUGGGCUUAGAAAAUAGCUGUUUUUUUGGCACAGUGGACAGAGUUUAAAUGAGCACAAAUUGGUGAGCUACAAAGUUAGAAAGGAGGAGAAUUAUUUAGACUCAGGCCAGACAUAUCGGGGAAAGAGACCAAAAGUAAUUCCAAUGAGAAACACUGAUAGGCUGUGGAAUUAAAGGCCAGCUCUUUCUUCUCUUUCCUUGCAGUCUGGAGUAUGCCUUGUAGCUCAUCAUAUUUUUGGCUUCUGGCACAUAUUUUAUUAACUUCCAUUAUAUAUAGAAACAAAACAGACCG